GGACGUUUAGCUCAGUUGGUUAGAGCGCUACCUUCACACGGUAGAGGUCACUAGUUCGAGUCUAGUAACGUCCACCA
rnacentral:tRNA from 1 species